GACGAACGCUUUCUUCUUUCUUAACACAUGCAAGUCGAACGGAAAGGCCCUGCUUUUGUGGGGUGCUCGAGUGGCGAACGGGUGAGUAACACGUGAGUAACCUGCCCUUGACUUUGGGAUAACUUCAGGAAACUGGGGCUAAUACCGGAUAGGAGCUCCUGCUGCAUGGUGGGGGUUGGAAAGUUUCGGCGGUUGGGGAUGGACUCGCGGCUUAUCAGCUUGUUGGUGGGGUAGUGGCUUACCAAGGCUUUGACGGGUAGCCGGCCUGAGAGGGUGACCAGCCACAUUGGGACUGAGAUACGGCCCAGACUCCUACGGGAGGCAGAAGUGGGGAAUAUUGCACAAUGGGCGGAAGCCUGAUGCAGCAACGCCGCGUGCGGGAUGACGGCCUUCGGGUUGUAAACCGCUUUCGCCUGUGACGAAGCGUGAGUGACGGUAAUGGGUAAAGAAGCACCGGCUAACUACGGG
rnacentral:rRNA from 1 species